rnacentral:rRNA from 1 species
UAAGGAGGGUGCAAGCAUUAAUCGGAUUUAUUGGGCGUAAAGGGCGUCUAGGUGGGGUUGUCAGUCAGGCGUGAAAUCCCGGAGCUCAACUCCGGAACGGCGCUUGAAACUACAGCUCUUGAGGGUAGGCGGGGUCAACGGAAUUCCACGUGUAGCGGUGAAAUGCGUAGAUAUGUGGAAGAACGCCGGUGGCGAAGGGGGUUGACUAGCUUAUACCUGACACUGAAGCGCGAAAGCAAGGGGAGCAAACAGG